rnacentral:rRNA from 1 species
GGCUCAGAACGAACGCUGGCGGCGUGCCUAACACAUGCAAGUCGAACGUGAUUAGAGAGCUUGCUCUCUAUGAAAGUGGCGCACGGGUGAGUAACGCGUAGAUAAUCUACCUGAUGGAUCGGGAUAACACUUCGAAAGGGGUGCUAAUACCGGAUAAGCCCACGGAGUCCUUGGACACUGCGGGAAAAGGGGGGGACCUUCGGGCCUUCCGUCAUCAGAUGAGUCUGCGUACCAUUAGCUAGUUGGUAGGGUAAAGGCCUACCAAGGCGACGAUGGUUAGCUGGUCUGAGAGGAUGAUCAGCCACACUGGAACUGAGACACGGUCCAGACUCCUACGGGAGGCAGCAGUGGGGAAUUUUGCGCAAUGGGGGAAACCCUGACGCAGCAACGCCGCGUGAGUGAUGAAGGCCCUUGGGUCGUAAAGCUCUGACAGAGGGAAAGAAAUGUGGAGUGGCUAAUAACCGCACCACUUGACGGUACCCUCAAAGGAAGCACCGGCUAACUCCGUGCCAGCAGCCGCGGUAAUACGGGGGGUGCAAGCGUUGUUCGGAUUUAUUGGGCGUAAAGCGCGUGUAGGCGGUUUUUUAAGUCUGAUGUGAAAGCCCUGGGCUCAACCUGGGAAGUGCAUUGGAUACUGGAAGACUUGAAUACGGGAGAGGGCAGUGGAAUUCCUGGUGUAGGAGUGAAAUCCGUAGAUAUCAGGAGGAACACCGGUGGCGAAGGCGGCUGCCUGGACCGAUAUUGACGCUGAGACGCGAAAGCGUGGGUAGCAAACAGGAUUAGAUACCCUGGUAGUCCACGCCGUAAACGAUGAGUACUAGGUGUUGCGGGUAUUGACCCCUGCAGUGCCGCAGCUAACGCAUUAAGUACUCCGCCUGGGAAGUACGGUCGCAAGACUAAAACU